rnacentral:tRNA from 1 species
GCCUGGGUGGCUCAGUCGGUUGAGCGUCUGACUCUUGAUUCCCCCUCAGGUCAUGAUCUCAGGGUUGUGGGAUCAAGCCCCAUGUCGGGCU